AGCAGUGGGGAAUAUUGGACAAUGGGCGCAAGCCUGAUCCAGCAAUGCCGCGUGUGUGAAGAAGGUCUUCGGAUUGUAAAGCACUUUCGGCGGGGACGAUGAUGACGGUACCCGCAGAAGAAGCCCCGGCUAACUUCGUGCCAGCAGCCGCGGUAAUACGAAGGGGGCUAGCGUUGCUCGGAAUGACUGGGCGUAAAGGGCGCGUAGGCGGUUUGCCAAGUUAGAUGUGAAAUUCCCGGGCUCAACCUGGGGACUGCAUUUGAGACUGGCAGGCUUGAGUGUGGAAGAGGGUCGUGGAAUUCCCAGUGUAGAGGUGAAAUUCGUAGAUAUUGGGAAGAACACCGGUGGCGAAGGCGGCGACCUGGUCCAUAACUGACGCUGAGG
rnacentral:rRNA from 1 species